rnacentral:rRNA from 1 species
ACGGGUGAGUAACGCGUAUGCAACCUACCCUUAACUGUGGGAUAGCUCGGAGAAAUUCGGAUUAAUACCACAUAUUAUUAUGAACUGGCAUCGGUUUAUAAUAAAAGAUUUAUUGGUUAAGGAUGGGCAUGCGUGCCAUUAGCUAGUUGGUAAGGUAACGGCUUACCAAGGCGACGAUGGCUAGGGGGUCUGAGAGGAUGGUCCCCCACACUGGUACUGAGACACGGACCAGACUCCUACGGGAGGCAGCAGUGAGGAAUAUUGGUCAAUGGACGCAAGUCUGAACCAGCCAUGCCGCGUGAAGGAAGAAGGCCCUAAGGGUUGUAAACUUCUUUUGUACGGGGGUAAUUUUCGGGUCGUGACCUGGAUUGAAAGUACUGUACGAAUAAGCGUCGGCUAACUACGUGCCAGCAGCCGCGGUAAUACGUAGGACGCGAGCGUUAUCCGGAUUCAUUGGGUUUAAAGGGUGCGUAGGCGGGCCUUUAAGUCAGUGGUGAAAGUUUGCCGCUUAACGGUAAGAUUGCCAUUGAUACUGGAGGCCUUGAGUACAGAUGAGGUAGGCGGAAUGUGUAGUGUAGUGGUGAAAU